GGAACAUUUCUCUGUCUAGGUACUUUUCAAAGCCUAGAUAGGCAAGGAAGCCAAAACCAUCCUUCCAAACUCCCUCUCUUCCUCCUCUAGCCAGUGACAUCUUCAACCCAAGGUCACCAGGUAUCAACCUAUCAAAAUGCUAUACACAGCGGCAGCAGGGGCCUGGAGGCUGAGAUCCACAGGCGUGUGCUGGUUUGUCAAGAUUGUGAGAAUAUCCACAGGGACCACAUGGGAGAGGCCGGAUGACCUCGAUGCUCUCUUCCUCAGUCACCUGUGCUCCACCGUGGUGUGAAGGAGCCAAGAGGACUCUCACUGGAGCUGAGCUAACGCCAGUGCCUUCCCCUUGAACCUGCCAGAUUGUGAGCAAAUAAACCUCUUUUCUUUACAAUCUCA